rnacentral:rRNA from 1 species
AUGAGGUUUUGCCCAAUCUGCCCCCCGCAUUCUGCAGCCAAUCCAUCCUCGCCUCGUCCCACUCCCGCACCGGCCACCACCCAAACCCUAGACCCAUUUCCCCUCGAUCCCCACAGCCUCUCCCGCCUACUCCAUCCCUCCUCCGUGCCUCGCCACGGCCUCCGCCCCAGAGCCUCGCCGCCACCUGCUAUUCCUCAUCGCCCAUGCGAGCUCGGUGGCGGGAUGAAUGGACAGGGGAGGUGGGCGACGAGGGCUACUCCACCCACCAGAUUCGCGCCGCCCCUGCCCAAAUCCUCUCCGCGUGCGUUGCACCCAAUCCCGUCCUCGCUCGUAUCGUCCGACGGACAGGUCCCCAUCCUCCUGCGGUUCCCCUCCCUUUCUUCCUUCUCCUCCCUCACGACAUGUCGCCUGUCUCCAUCCCGCAUCUUGCUGCCGCAACAGCCUCUCCAGGAGGCUCGCCCUCCGUGCUGCAAAGUAGCAGGCCCGGACCUGGAGGAGGAAGAGGAGAUCAGGGGGUCCAGGCGGUGGCUCGGUACAGUUCCUUUUCGAUAUGCUCUUCAUGGCGCCGAUGGCUUCCACGGAGCAGAGGAAAGUAUGCGUGCCUUCUGCUGGAAAGGGCUCGGUGGUUGGGAGAGUAGCGCCAUGAAUGAUGAAUGUUGGCGAUCUUUUUAUUGUGACACAACGCUUUCGAGUUUCAUGAGACAUGGCCAUUCUCAAAAGGGGUUUGCGGCUGCAGGUGAAGGAUGGGCGGACAAUGAGGAGAUGGAAAAUGAAGCAAUGUUAUGGGAGAAAAUUGAGGGAGAACAGUUGGCCGCCAUCCAUGAAUGGGAAGAUAGCAGACCUGCGGUGUUUGCAGAAUCAACAGGAAAAAUGACCCUCCAAGCUCCAAGAUGGACUAAAAGGACAAGGUACACGCAAGCUGAACAAAGGGAGGAGUGGGGCAGUGUGGUGUUUGAGGUUAAGGAUUCCUCUGAAGAGAUCUUUGACCAGGACACUAUUCUACAAAAGCAGCAAAUGCUUGAGAAAGAUCUAAAACUCGGAGAGAAGAGAGAGGGAAAAGAGAACGGGGAGGCGAGGAGCACCUGCAUCACAUCCUGUGGCUGCAGCGGGUCGGCCUCCGUCAUCGGCUUCUUCCUGCUAGGACAGGGCAGGACAGGGACGGCGAUGGAGAUAGCGAGCAACAUGAGGAGGAAGUGGAGGUCGGUGGGGAAGGCCUCCCUCCCGCGAGAUCACCACCACCAAACCCGCCGAGGUCAGAGAAAUAGGGAAAAUCAAAAUCUGAAGAUCUGGAAAUGGAGAUGCCCAUGUAAUCGCUCGCCUUCUCAAAGGAGUGGACAAGAGAGCUACCAUUACAUUACAACUAAGUGCCACACCAAUGAAUGUGAAUGCAUGUUCAGAUUAUGUUCCUCUAAAUCACGUAUACCAUUCUUAGUACAGACUCGGCAUCUAUUCGUCUUGGUACAAACUAAUGUUCUAAUAAGAAGUUUCUCCAUGAUGUCACUUUCCACCUACUGGGUCGUGCAGGGUUGCGUCAUGAACGGCAUCUGGGCGAUCGCCCACGAGUGCGGCCACCACGCCUUCUUCGACUACUUGCUGCUUGACAACAUGUUUUCUGUCAGUAGUUUGUUCAAUUUGUAUGCUUGGGAUUUGUUUCAUUGA